rnacentral:rRNA from 1 species
UAAAAACUAGAAUGAAAGGUUAUACAUUCAAAUUUCUUUAUUAAUUUUUUAAUAAAUAAUUUAUAUUAAAUAUAAAAAUAUAUUUACAAAAAAAAAAGACGAUAAGACCCUAUUAAAUUUUACUUAUAGUUUAGCUGGGGAAGCUUUUCAAUUAAAAUUUUUUAAAAAAAUUAAAUAAAUAUCUAAUAAAAUUAAAAUUUUAAUAAAUUACUAUAGGGAUAACAGCAUUAUAUUUUUUAAAAGUUCAUAUUAAAAAAAAAUGAUUGUGACCUCGAUGUUGAAUUAUAUUUUCUAUAUUUAAUGCAAUAAUUAUAUAAGUAGAUCUGUUCGAUCUUUAAAAUAUUACAUGAUUUGAGUUCAAACCGGUGUAAACCAGGUUGGUUUCUAUCUUUUUAUAUAUUUUUCUAGUACGAAAGGACAAAAAAAUUUUUAUUUUAAUAAAUUAGCAAAUAAAUGCAUUAGAUUUAGAAUCUAAAUAUAUAUAUA